GGAACGUGUUCAGCGCAGUUCUGCACAGAUGAGAGACCAGAAAAACAUCACAGCUGAAUCUGGACAGGACGUCACUCUGACAUGUCGAGCUCCAAACAAAAACAAGAUCACAGUUUUAGAGUGGACCAGAGCUGAACAGCAAAAUGUCCUUUUGUACCACAAUGAGCGGUUGUAUCUAGAUGACCAGCAUCCAUCUUUUAAGAACCGGGUGGAUCUGCAGGACAGACAGAUGAAGGAUGGAGACGUGUCUUUGAUUCUGAAGGAUGUGACGAUUAAUGAUACUGGAACAUACGCGUGUCGUGUCAUCACAGGAGGAACAAACCGCAGGAAGAGCCCAAAUGUGGGUGCCAGCUUCAUCUACCUUCAUGUUGAUCCUCCAGCUCAGACAGGAGGACAAGAGAAGGAUGAAGACAACAAAGAUGGAGGAAAGGAAGACAAAGAGAAGGAGGAUGGAUCUGUGGGACUGAUAGUUCUUAGUCUGCUUCUUGUAGCUGCUGCUUCUGUUGGUUUUGUGAAGUACAAAGAAAAUGCAAAAAAAUGUUUGAACAUGUUGUUCAAAUAAGCAUUCCAGAUAGAGAGAAAUGUCCAGCAGACAUCUGUAGACUUCAAACAUCCAUAAUUUGAUUUUAUUUCUCAUUUCUCUGAUUAUGAGAAACAGACGCACACUGUUGGUCUGAGUCUGUGCUGUCUGUUUAUUCAUCCUCUACUCACUUACCUGGAGGAUCAACUAUCCAUCAAGCCUGUUCAUGCGAUUCACUGACACAAACUAAAACUGUAACAUACAGGAAUUUAUGAGGCAUAAUCUAACAAUCAAUGAGUGUUUUUUUUUUUCUUGUAGCUUCAGGUUCAGCAGCUGUUUAUAAACUUAUUCUGUGAAUUUGAAUCACAAAAAUUAGAUGGUCUUUUUCAGUGGUUGUUGCUCAAUGUUCAUGACAGUUUUCAUGUUAAUGAUCAAGGAACUGACCUCACAGCCCAUUGUUUCAUCAGUGGGCUAGUUUCAGUUAUUGUGCAAAUGUACUGUUUAUAACUCUCCAAAAGUUGAUUCUGUUCAUCUGGAAGUAGCAUUUUCAGUGGGAGAAACAUUUCGCAAAUUAUCCAGGUGACUUCUUCAGUCUCAGCUGACUGCAGGUUUCCCCAAUCUUAUAAACAGUACAUUUGCAUAACGACUGAAACCAGCCCACUGAAGGAACAAUGGGCUGUGAGGUCAGUUCCUUAAUCAUAAUUAUGCAAAUUCUCAUGAUCAUCAAAAAUCUCAACUUUUUGAGAUUUACUUUCCUGGAUGAUUGAGAAUGCAUCAAGAUGAUACUGUUUAUCUGUGCCAUGGCAGAAGACCAAGGGCAGCUACACUACUACACUGCACUUUGGGGUGGCGGUAGCUCAGGUGGAAGAGCAGAUUACCUUCUAACUGGAAGGUUGGUGGUUCAGUUUCUGUCUGCUCCAGUCAGCAUGCUAAAUAUCCUUGGGCAAGACACUAACUCCAAGUUAAGUGUGUGAAUGUUAGAUAGAAAGAGCAUAGAAAAGUGUGUGAAUGGGUGAAUGAGGCAAGUUUUUUUAAAAGUGCUAUAUAAGAGCCAGUCUAAAGUUUGGACACACCUUUUCAUUUAGGCUCAGGCUCUUGAUAAAAUGACAACAGGUCGGCUCUGAGCGCUGAUACUCUGCCACGCCUCAGGGCUGUGACUCUGACACUGGAACUGAGCUAGACUUCAUAAUUUGUUUAUCUUUGCUUCACAUCACCACUUCUCAAACACUCCACUUUGUUCUGCAACCUCAUGACUGAACCCAACCUUGAUUUUUUUCACCCCACUUUACAGGGAGAGACUCAGAGAGGCUUUCAUUUUCAUUUCACAAGAAAAAGUUAAUCAGUUUCACAUGCAGAUGAUUCAUAUAGCACACACUGUUUGUGCAGUUUGUUUUCCUGAUUGUUCUGGUUACUGAUCUGGUUCAACAAGCCACCAGUUUUAUUUUCUUUUGCACAAAGCCAAAGCAGCCAAACCUCCUGUGCACUGUAUUAAAGAGUGG
ensembl:lncRNA